CUUCGUUUGAGUUAUGGCGUCGGUCUUAAAGUGGGUCUCCGAAUUAUAUGGGAAGAAAUUAAUUAUUUUGGCGCUUCUGAUAAACAUUGAUGUUUGUUUAGGUGGUCCAAAAAAUGUUGUAAUCAGUCCACCACCACCUGGAUCUGUAGCAGAAGGAGACAGUCUGACUGCGAUGUGUGCUGCUACUGACUGUAAACCACCAUGUUCUUAUUCCUGGACUCAGGGUAAUCAGCAGAUCUCAGCAACCUCUCGGUUAACACUGAAAAACAUCAACAGAAGUCAGACAGGGAAUGUGUACACGUGUACAGCGACCAAUUCAGUUUUACCAACAUCUAAAAGUAAACAGUUCACACUGACAGUGUACUAUGGUCCAGACAGUGUCCAGCUAAACACCAGUUCACCACUGACAGUGAAGGAAGGUGAAGAUGUAUCUCUCAUAUGUGAAGCGACUAACUGUUCUCCAUCCUGUUCUUUUACCUUGAAGUUUAAAUCUCAGAUAAAAUCAACCAGUUCCGUGCUGUCAUUAAAUAACAUACAGAGAGCAUCAGCCGGUGACUACACGUGUACUGCUAGAAACACAAACACACAGAAAUCAUUAGACAAGACCAUUACUCUGGAUGUAAAGUAUGUUACACUGAAGAUGUCUGGCUCUUCAUCAUAUGCCAUCACUAACAAAUCAUAUACGUUGACAUGUACAGUGGCCCGGGCUGUUAACUUUGAUAAUACGAUUGUAUUUUCUCGGAAAACAGUGGAAAGUACUUUUGCAACCCUCAAGCAGAACCUGGGUGUAUGUUCUGUUGUCAUUGAAACACCAGCUGGUUACAGUGCAGCUUGUGGUACAGGAACAAGUGAUGCCAACGCUGACACUAAAGAGUAUACACUGGUGAUUGACAAAGUUGCAAAAAUUGAUCAUACAAAUUGGUCGUGUUUUCUGAAUACAGACCACAGAGUCAGCAGCAGUUUAACUGUACAGCCUUUCGGCUCUGCAACUACAGAUAUUGAUUGUAUGAAUGGUGGAAGACCUGGAGAGAGUCUAACGUUAACCUGCAAAAUAUCCGGUACUAUAGUUAGUGGAAUCAGAUGGAUACGACCUAAUGGUGGAUCACCACAAACGGUUAUAUUAUGCAACACAGCAAACACAAAAUGUAACCAAUCUGGGGGAAUACCUGGCUACACUGGAACUAUUGUAUCAUCUACACAGUAUGACCUUACAAUACAAUUUUUUAGUACUGAAACAGAUGUUGGAGAAUGGAUUUGUCGAGAUGGAUCAACAGGAGCUGGUCCAUUUUCAUGUAACAUGAAUCUCAACACUACUCCAGACAAUCCAGAGAGUCAGCUUUCGGAAUCCACCAUUAUUAUAAUAGUAGUGGUUGCUGUUCUGCUGGCCGUCGCUGUUCCAGCAUGUUGGUGCUGUUACAAGAGAAGAGUGAACCGACAACCGAAAGAUGAGCAAGAGAAAACUGAAGAGAAAACUGAAAAGACAACUCAAGAGGAAGAUGAUGAGAGCGUCCUAGUUGACAAUCCAGUUUUGGAACAGUCAAAUUAAUUAGUUGUAAACUUGCUUACUAGUGAAUGUUCGGAGCAGUCCAUUUGAGCAUUUCAUUUCAUUUCAACCUAUUUUCGUGCUUAUAUCCAAUUACGGUUCCAGCACGCUGUCCUGGGUACACACCUCAGCUAUAUGGGCUGCCAAUCCUGGACAGUGGGUUAGUUGUUAGUUGGCUACUUGUUAGUGAUACAGAAGAGGGUGUAGUGGCUGUACACCUACGCAUUGAGGCCUUAAGAACUCGCUAAGCCAGUACCGGACUGCGAACCCUGUAACUACCACCAACUAUAGCUCACUCGAAACAGUUAACCAAUUAAACGAGUGCAGGUUUUAUGAUCGACAUUUCAAAACACAAUUAUUUCUCUUCUUGUUCUUUGGCUUUUGAAUGUCUAAUGAAUAUGUUUAGUGUUAAAUUCAAGUUCAAUUAGUAAUUAUUCAUUAUUAAUUACGAAUUAUUUAUUAAUUACGAAUUAAUGCUAAUUACUAAUUAAAUUAAUUAAUAAUUACCAAUAAUUACAAAUUAAUUAAUUAAUUAAUUAUUAUUUGAAAGCGGGUUGAAAUAAUAUAUAUUUUCAGGGACCAAUCAGUCUACAGAAGGAGUUGAGUUGGUGGUCAAUUAGAGGGCAUUAUUUCCAGACCUGUCUAUUAAAAAUAAUCAGUUAUUUCCACGCCUAUAUAAAUAUCGUUAAUUUACUUAUUUUAAGUUCGUUAUUAGACAAAAACAUUGAUCUCUUAUAUUCGAUUGCUUUUCUUAACUGUGUUCAAAGUCCUGAUAAAAGGGAUCCAAAUAUUUAAUUUCUACUUAUAUCAUGGGUUUUCUUUAUAACAUAUUAUGAUAUGCAGGAAACCCAUAUUGUGAUAUGUCAUGAUUACAACAAUUAUCAUAUUCUUCCCUGUAAAGCAUAGUCGAUGUUAAUAUCAACGGCACCACAGUUACCUCAGUGAAAAAUCUUAUCUGCAGAGGGCAGUCGAAGUGGAGUUAUCACGUGUGUUAUCCUAGUUAGGUGUGACUGUGGUAAUUGUGCCGUGAUGUCCACGGCAGAAGAAUGCCUAUGUCGUAUGGAGGUGCCAUCAGCUAGAUACAAGACCGACAUGGCAGAUGGUGAUUGUGUGUGUCACAGCAUGAAGGAUUUAUUGUAAACUACCUCAACAUGCAUAUCUUGGAGAUGGCCAUGUUGGACUGUGUUCGUAUGGACGGCCCACUCGAUGACAAUGAUCCCAUUCACGAGACAUACAGAUAUAUUGCUUAUAGACGAUUUGCGAGAUGGAUUGGUCAAAGAAAUCGCCGUGUGCUUCCUGUAUGAGUUGUGAAGAUUAGAGACAGUUUCCCAUCGGAAAUUUACUGGCUUUCAAUAUGCUAG
rnacentral:misc_RNA from 1 species